GACGAACGCUGGCGGCGUGCUUAACACAUGCAAGUCGUACGGUAAGGCCCUUUCGGGGGUACACGAGUGGCGAACGGGUGAGUAACACGUGAGUAACCUGCCCACAACUUUGGGAUAACGCUAGGAAACUGGUGCUAAUACUGGAUAUGUGCUCCUGCUGCAUGGUGGGGGUUGGAAAGCUCCGGCGGUUGUGGAUGGACUCGCGGCCUAUCAGCUUGUUGGUGGGGUAGUGGCCUACCAAGGCGGCGACGGGUAGCCGGCCUGAGAGGGUGACCGGCCACAUUGGGACUGGGAUACGGCCCAGACUCCUACGGGAGGCAGCAGUGGAGAAUAUUGCACAAUGGGCGCAAGCCUGAUGCAGCAACGCCGCGUGCGGGAUGACGGCCUUCGGGUUGUAAACCGCUUUCAGCAGGGACGAAGCUUUUUGUGACGGUACCUGCAGAAGAAGCACCGGCUAACUACGUG
rnacentral:rRNA from 1 species